rnacentral:lncRNA from 1 species
CGCCAUCGUGGGAGGGAGACUACACAUUGGUGCUACCCGUGGAAUUCUGUUGCUCCCCGUGCUUGUCUUCCAUUGCUACGGUGUGGCAAAGACAUGGAGCUGGCUCCUGCAGACUGGUUCGAAUGCCUACGUUCCUGAGGGCCCCUGGGCGUCAUACGUCACAUGACCGAACUCACUGCCACCUUUGCACUGCUUCGCUGAUGGCGCCAUCGAGGGAGACUGCGCAUUGAUGCUACUCGUGGAAUUCUGUUCUCCCCGUGCUUGUCUUCCAUUGCUACGGUGUGACAAAGACAUGGAGCUGGCUCCUGCAGACUGGUUCGAAUGCCUACGCUCCUGAGGGCCCCUGGGCGUCAUACGUCACAUGACCGAACUCACUGCCACCUUUGCACUGCUUCGCUGAUGGCGCCAUCGAGGGAGACUGCGCAUUGGUGCUACUCGUGGAAUUCUGUUGCUCCCCGUGCCUGUUUCCAUUGCUACAGCGUGACAGACAUGGAGCUGGCUCCUGCAGACUGGUUCGAAUGCCUACUUUCCUGAGGGCUCCUGGGCGUCAUACGUCACGUGACCGAACUCACUGCCACCUUUGCACUGCUUCGCUGAUGGCGCCAUCGAGGGAGACUGCGCAUUGGUGCUACUCGUGGAAUUCUGUUGCUUCCACGUGCCUGUCUUCCAUCGCUACCUUUGACAAAGACAUGGAGCUGGCUCCUGCAGACUGGUUCGAAUGCCUACGUUCCUGAGGUCCCGAGGCAUCACUCAUCGUAUGGCCGAACUUAUAUUGGCACCUUUGCACUCCUUCGCUGAUUGCGUCAUCCAGGGAGACGGGACGUUGCUACUACGUUUGCAGAAGGCUCCCAGCGUGUUCCGGCGUGUGGCGCGCUACAGAAGAUUGAUCCAGCCCGCUCAUUGACAUCUAACAUCCGUGGCAUCCCUCCAAGAGCGACUACGUCCAGCCUGGUCGUUCUACCGGGGACUCUGGACCGGUCAAGUCUUCGUGCGUUUCUAAGACUUUGUUGCUAUCCCGCACUAUCUUCGCUGCGUGUGAGCGUUCAUCCAAAAGACUGCAGUCGGCGUUGCUGGACCACCUAACGGAUCGCUUGCUGCAAUUUUUUUUCUUUCAGUAGCCUAUGCAAGAAAGGUUAUUUCAACAGUUCAGUGUAGCAAGCCAAGCCGUGCUGAGAGCUUCCCUUCGCUCAGCCAACGGCUGGGGCGUCUAGCAGUUACAAUAAUACAAAGCCAAAGAACUGUAAUAAGCACCGAUUUCUCACUCACGAGCUGAUCUGUAAAUGUUUGGCGGUGAGGGUAAGGAUACUUGUUUACACUGUGCGCUUUUGCAUCAAUGCAUAUAUGGUGCCUGUCCAUGUGCAUUUUUAUUUAGCUCCAUCGCCUAAGUUUGCAGGUAAUCUGUGAUGGUCUUGUUGGUCGUGAAUAGAUCAAACUUGUUUCAAUGGGAUUCGCUCUUGUCAUUGUCGCUGGUAGCGACCAUAAGCCGUUGAUAGUUCACUGGCGAAUCAUAUCGACGUUUUUUCUCGCCAUAAUGGCUGUGUAUAGGGUGCCGAAGUGAUCGCUCGCUAUCGUUCAUGGACAUCCACUUUGGAAACAGUUCAGGCACUGGGCCAGCCUCCCUGUCUUUGUCUACUUCUUCCUCCCCCUUCACAUGUUUGUCUGUCUGUCUUCAUUCAUUGAAUUGACUUCUUCAAAAUUCUUCAUUGAAUUGUGUCUGUAAAAGCCCGUUUGGCUUUGUCCCGAAGUUAGACCUUGGGCCUUUCAUUCAUAGAGCUUACUUGCACAAAAUUCGUCGUGUCGCAUCGGUAGAAGCCCGUUUGGCUUUGUCCCGAGGUUAGAACUCGGGCUCUUUCAUUCGUUGAACUUACUUGCACAGAAUUUGUUAUCUAGCAUCGGUAGAAGCCCAUUUGGCUUUGUGCCGAGGUUAAAACUCGGGCUCGUUCAUUCAAUAAAUUCACUUCCCCAGAAUUCGUCUUGUCGCAUCGGUAGAAGCCCAUUUGGCUUUGUGCCGAGGUUAAUACUCGGGCUCUUUCAUUCAUUGAAUUUACUUGCCCAGAAUUCGUCUUGUAGCAUCGGUAGAAGCCCGUUUGGCUUUGUCCCGAUGUUAGAACUUGGGCUCUUUCAUUCGUUGAACUUACCUGCACAGAAUUCGUUAUCUAGCAUCGGUAGAACCCCAUUUGGCUUUGUGCCGAGGUCAAAACUCGGGCUCGUUCAUUCAAUGAAUUCACUUGCCCGGAAUU